CUUUCCUUCAGGCCUUGGAGAAAUACUGUCGGACAGAAGCCGGCUUCUCUGGGAUCCAAGAUGUGUACAGUAGCUCUCCCAACCACGACAACAAGCAGCAGAGCUUCUUUCUAGCGGAGACACUAAAGUAUCUCUAUCUUCUGUUCUCUGAAGAUGACGUGCUCUCCCUGGAAGACUGGGUGUUCAACACUGAGGCCCACCCGCUCCCUGUGAACCACUCAGACAGCUCUGGCAGGACACAGGGUAGGCAGUGACCCCAUCUCCCUGCCGCCACAGGGAUGCCUUGUCUUUUGGGGAUUUGGGACUGUCACACAGUUCAAAGGGAUUGGGAACAUAGGUCCCAUCUCGGGUAGACCCCGAGCAGAUGUGUCAGACAAGCAACUUUUCCUCUGUGAGGAGUCUGGACUUGGAGAUGCAGCAGUGUCAGAUAAGGGCCAUGGUCACAAUAGGCCCAGACAUUCCUUCUAUAGAGAAUUUUAUGAAGCCCACUCAACUUGCCAUUCCAGGGCCAAAGGACCGGAGGUUUGCAUAUCUACCCACAUAUUUGAUUUGCUUCCUUUUGUUUGGGGGGGUUUUGUUUUUGCUUGAUUUUGCCUUUUCUCUACAACUGAGUUUUGUCAUAAUUAUUUAGUUUUCAAAAUCAUGUGCUUUCUAAAACAGUGUUAUCCUGAUAAAUACACCCACCAAAUCUUGACCCCAUUAUCUAUAUUUUAAAUGCCUUUUGCCCCACAUUUACUCCAUGUCCAGCUAUGUGUUAUUUACCUUUUAAUUUGAGGAGGGUGUCCCUUUUGAUUUGGGCCUACGUGUUACAAAUCACUAGUGCUAUUUUCAUUAUUGUAAUGGAGAAAUCUGUGAACUAGAAUAAAAGAAUUUAUUGAAUAAGAAA